GACGAACGCUGGCGGCGUGCUUAACACAUGCAAGUCGAACGGAAAGGCCCUGCUUUUGUGGGGUGCUCGAGUGGCGAACGGGUGAGUAACACGUGAGUAACCUGCCCUUGACUUUGGGAUAACUUCAGGAAACUGGGGCUAAUACCGGAUAGGAGCUCCUGCUGCAUGGUGGGGGUUGGAAAGUUUCGGCGGUUGGGGAUGGACUCGCGGCUUAUCAGCUUGUUGGUGGGGUAGUGGCUUACCAAGGCUUUGACGGGUAGCCGGCCUGAGAGGGUGACCGGCAAAAUGGGGACGGGGAUACGGCCAAGACUCCAACGGGAGGCAGAAGUGGGGAAAAUUGCACAAUGGGGGGAAGCCGGAGGAAGAAACGCCGCGUGCGGGAUGACGGCCUUGGGGUGGUAAACCGCUUUCGCCUGUGACGAAGCGGGAGGGACGGUAAUGGGUAAAGAAGAACCGGAUAACUAGGU
rnacentral:rRNA from 1 species